AGCGAACGCUGGCGGCAGGCCUAACACAUGCAAGUCGAACGAACCGUUCGGGGUUAGGGGCGGACGGGGGAGGAACACGUGGGGACGUGCCCGUAGGUACGGAAUAACUCAGGGUAACAUGUGCUAAUACCGAAGGGGCCCUUCGGGGAUAAGAUUAAUCGCCGUUAGAGCGGCCCGCGUCAGAUUAGCUGGUUGGUUGGGGUAAUGGCACGCCUAGGCGACGAUCAGGAGCUGGUCUGGGAGGAUGCUCAGCCACAUUGGGACUGCGACACGGCCCCCACUCCUACGGGACGCAGCAGUGUGGAAUCUUGCGGGCUGGGCGAAAGCCUGACGCAGCCAUGCCGCGUGAAUGAUGCAGGUCUUAGGAUUGUAAUAUUCUUUCUCCGGGGACGAUAAUGACGGUACCCGGAGAAGAAGCCCCGGCUAACUUCGUG
rnacentral:rRNA from 1 species